rnacentral:ncRNA from 1 species
GCUGGCGUGUGGAAGACUAGAGGUGGGCUUGGAAGCAGCCAUCCUUUGAAGAAAGCGUAAUAGCUCACUGGUCUAGCUCCAUGGCACCGAAAAUGUAUCAGGGCUCAA